UUAGAGUUUGAUCCUGGCUCAGAUUGAACGCUGGCGGCAGGCCUAACACAUGCAAGUCGAGCGGUAGAGAGAAGCUUGCUUCUCUUGAGAGCGGCGGACGGGUGAGUAAUGCCUAGGAAUCUGCCUGGUAGUGGGGGAUAACGUUCGGAAACGGACGCUAAUACCGCAUACGUCCUACGGGAGAAAGCAGGGGACCUUCGGGCCUUGCGCUAUCAGAUGAGCCUAGGUCGGAUUAGCUAGUUGGUGAGGUAAUGGCUCACCAAGGCGACGAUCCGUAACUGGUCUGAGAGGAUGAUCAGUCACACUGGAACUGAGACACGGUCCAGACUCCUACGGGAGGCAGCAGUGGGGAAUAUUGGACAAUGGGCGAAAGCCUGAUCCAGCCAUGCCGCGUGUGUGAAGAAGGUCUUCGGAUUGUAAAGCACUUUAAGUUGGGAGGAAGGGCAGUUACCUAAUACGUGAUUGUUUUGACGUUACCGACAGAAUAAGCACCGGCUAACUCUGUGCCAGCAGCCGCGGUAAUACAGAGGGUGCAAGCGUUAAUCGGAAUUACUGGGCGUAAAGCGCGCGUAGGUGGUUAGUUAAGUUGGAUGUGAAAUCCCCGGGCUCAACCUGGGAACUGCAUUCAAAACUGACUGACUAGAGUAUGGUAGAGGGUGGUGGAAUUUCCUGUGUAGCGGUGAAAUGCGUAGAUAUAGGAAGGAACACCAGUGGCGAAGGCGACCCACCCUGGACUGAUACCUGACCACCUGAGGUGCGAAAGGCGUGGGAGCAACAGAU
rnacentral:rRNA from 1 species